rnacentral:tRNA from 1 species
GGGGAAGUGGGGUAAUCUGGUUAGCCUGCGAGCUUUGGGAGCUCGCGAUCCCGGUUCAAAAAACCCCUUUCCGCC